rnacentral:rRNA from 1 species
AUUGAACGCUGGCGGCAGGCCUAACACAUGCAAGUCGAGCGAGCGGCGGACGGGUGAGUAAAGUCCGGGAAACCGCCUGAUGGAGGGGGAUAACUACCGGAAACGGUAGCUAAUACCGCAUACCAUCAGAUGUGCCCAGAUGGGAUAAGCUAGUAGGUGGGGUAACGGCUCACCUAGGCGACGAUCCCUAGCUGGUCUGAGAGGAUGACCAGCCACACUGGAACUGAGGCACGGACCAGACUCCUACGGGAGGCGGCGGUGGGGAAUAUUGCACAAUGGGCGCAAGCCUGAUGCAGCCAUGCCGCGUGUAUGAAGAAAGCCUUCGGGUUGUAAAAUACUUUAAGCGGAGAGGCGUUACCCGCAGAAGAAGCACCGGCUAGCUCCGUGCCAGCAGCCGCGGUAAUAC